UGAGGAAUAUUGGUCAAUGGGCGAGAGCCUGAACCAGCCAUCCCGCGUGCAGGAUGACGGCCCUAUGGGUUGUAAACUGCUUUUCCGCGCCAAGAAACCCCCCUACGUGUAGGGGGCUGACGGUAGCGCGGGAAUAAGCACCGGCUAACUCCGUGCCAGCAGCCGCGGUAAUACGGAGGGUGCAAGCGUUAUCCGGAUUCAUUGGGUUUAAAGGGUGCGCAGGUGGGAAAAUAAGUCAGUGGUGAAAUACUGCCGCUCAACGGUAGGGCUGCCAUUGAUACUGUUUUUCUUGAGUAUGGUUGAGGUAGGUGGAAUGUGUUGUGUAGCGGUGAAAUGCAUAGAUAUGACACAGAACGCCGAUUGCGAAGGCAACUUACUAAGCCAUUACUGACGCUGAGGCACGAAAGCGUGGGUAGCGAACA
rnacentral:rRNA from 1 species